AACGAACGCUGGCGGCAGGCCUAACACAUGCAAGUCGAACGCUGUAGCAAUACAGAGUGGCAGACGGGUGAGUAACACGUGGGAACGUACCCUUCGGUUCGGAAUAACACAGAGAAAUUUGUGCUAAUACCGGAUACGUCCGAGAGGAGAAAGAUUUAUCGCCGAAGGAUCGGCCCGCGUCUGAUUAGCUUGUUGGUGAGGUAAUGGCUCACCAAGGCGACGAUCAGUAGCUGGUCUGAGAGGAUGAUCAGCCACACUGGGACUGAGACACGGCCCAGACUCCUACGGGAGGCAGCAGUGGGGAAUAUUGGACAAUGGGCGCAAGCCUGAUCCAGCCAUGCCGCGUGAGUGAUGAAGGCCCUAGGGUUGUAAAGCUCUUUUACCCGGGAAGAUAAUGACGGUACCGGGAGAAUAAGCCCCGGCUAACUUCGUG
rnacentral:rRNA from 1 species